GUGAUCUCCACAGCGAUCCCUGCUCCUCCUGCUGGGAGUCAAAGCCUGCAGUGGAGGGAGGUCUUGCUAUCGCCGAGCUGGAGGUGUGUGCAGCUCCCAGACCCAGGCAGUCGGGACAAAAUGUCACGGCGAGCUAACAGGAAGAGUUUUAUAAGCUCACAAACCGACGCUGGGGCUGCUGCCAUUUGUUACAAAGACAGGGGAGAGGGAUGAAGGAGGGAGGAGAACGGAAAUGAAGAGUGGAGGGAGAAAGACAAGAGGAGGAGAGAACGGGAGAACGACAGCAGGCGAAGCAACGAAAACGGGAGGAAAUAAAAACAAAUCAACAACGAGAACAGCCGGCUGGUAUCUGGAGGGAGUUUGAUGGAUUCCUGAGGAGAGGCUGAGACUGGAUAUAAAUGACUGACCAUGUAGCACGUGAGUGUAUUGAGUAACCCUGCAUCCAAGCAGAAGAGCUCUGUAAGCCAUUUCCACUCAACUGUGGCUGGCGUGGAGUCGCCCUUCCAUCUCUGUCCACGCUACGCUGAGCGGUGGUCCGUCUCCCCCGUGACCUUCCCCGCCUCCCACAGUCGCUGCUCCCUUCACGCUGCUGCAAGUUUUUUUUUUGUUGUUUUUUUUAAAUAUUCUGGCUUCUUGCAGAAUCUGAGGGUGUAGUUACCCUUCAAUCAAGACUCUCCUGCUCUCCCACUCUUGUCUGUGGACUGUGGAAAAGACAUGACUGAGAGCAGCAGCGAGUGGAGGCGUGGGCCGAGAGCGAAGGGGUCUGCCACCAAGAUGGACGUCCAGCAAUUAACCGGUCACUGCAAAGACACCACAAAAUGUGGAUGGGCCACAAGUUUGGUGACAAACUGGUCAAAAAACGGUGGAAGUUGCUGUUAAGUGGUGAAGGAUUUCACAUUAAUGGAAUUUCCUUUGAUGUUUGACUUCACUGCGCUUUAGCUUUUAGCAUCUCAUUCAUUAUUUUACAUUUUACAGGUUGUAAAUCCAUCAAUGCAAAGUCGACUCUUGAUGGAAUUUUCCAGUUGUAUUGCAUCGUGUAACUGUUACAGCAUUUUUUUGCUUCAAUAAUCUUCAGUAGCCUGUUUCAGGACUUGUGAGUUCUUACCUGUUCUACAUUAGAUUCAAUUUCAUUUAAUUGCACAAGUACAACUAUUAAGACAAACUUUUUUCUUGUAAUAUACUCCCUUCUUUACUUUUUAUAGUAUUAUUUGGCCAUAGUAGUUUCAUUCCAGUUUGUUGCACCUUUGCUGCUUCCGAUACUCAACUUUCAGUCACUUUAUAAUUGAAUUACAAAAAUUAAAAUGUUCCUCUUC